GCCGGGUGCGGUGGCGCGCGCCUGUAAUCCAAGCUCCCGGGAGGCUGAGGCUGGAGGAUCGUUUGAGCUCAGGACCUCUGAGCUGCAGCGGACUAUGUCGAUCAGGUGUCCGCACUAAGUUCGGUAUCGAUAUGGUGCUCCUGGGGGAGCCCGGGACCACCAGGUCGUCUAAGGAGGGGUGCACCGGCCCAGGUCGGAGACGGAGCAGGUCAAAGCCCCCGUGCCGCUCAGUAGUGGGAUCGCGCCUGUGAAUAGACGCUGUAGUGCAGCCUGAGUAACACAGCGGGACCCAGUCUUUA
rnacentral:SRP_RNA from 1 species